AUGGUGGCCCGGACCAUUGGCAUUUCUGUGGAUCCGAGGAGGUGGAACAAGUCCAUGGAGUCCCUGCAGGCCAACGUGCAGCGGCUGAAGGAGUGCCGUUCCAAACUCAUCCUCUUCCCCAGGAAGCCCUCGGCCCCCAAGAAGGGAGAGAGUUCUGCUGAAGAACUGAAACUGGACACCCAGCUGACAGGACCGGUCAUGCCCAUCCGGAAUGUCUAUAAGAAGGAGAAAGCUCGAGUCAUUACUGAGGAGGAGAAGAAUUUCAAAACCUUUGCUAGUCUCCGCAUGGCCUGUGCCAACACCCGACUCUUCGGCAUACGGGCAAAAAGAGCCAAGGAAGCCGCAGAACAGGAUGUUGAAAAGAAAAAAUAAAGCCCUCCUGGGGACUUGUAAUCAGUCAGCAGUCAAAAAAAAAAAAAAAAAAAAAAA